rnacentral:rRNA from 1 species
UACGGAGGGUGCAAGCGUUGCUCGGAAUUAUUGGGCGUAAAGGGUAGGUAGGUGGUCUCAUUUGUCUGGGGUGAAAGCCUUGAGCUUAACUCAAGAAGUGCCCCAGAGACGGUGAGACUGGAGUUCUGGAGAGGGUCGUGGAAUUCCCGGUGUAGCGGUGAAAUGCGCAGAUAUCGGGAAGAACACCCGUGGCGAAGGCGGCUCUCUGGGACGGUACUGACGCUGAGACGCGAAAGCGUGGGGAGCGAACAGG